rnacentral:rRNA from 1 species
UACGUAGGGACCGAGCGUUGUCCGGAUUCAUUGGGCGUAAAGCGCACGCAGGCGGCUUGCUAAGUCGGGUGUGAAAUCCCUUGGCUCAACCGAGGAACUGCAUUCGAUACUGGUAGGCUCGAGGACGGGAGGGGUAAGCGGAACUCCAGGUGGAACGGUGAAAUGUGUAGAUAUCUGGAGGAACACCGGUGGCGAAAGCGGCUUACUGGCCCGUAUCUGACGCUCAUGUGCGAAAGCUAGGGGAGCAAACGGG